UNUUAAAAGUUCGGGGCUUAACCCCGUGAUGGGAUGGAAACUGCCNAUCUAGAGUAUCGGAGAGGAAAGUGGANUUCCUAGUGUAGCGGUGAAAUGCGUAGAUAUUAGGAAGAACACCAGUGGCGAAGGCGACUUUCUGGACGAAAACUGACGCUGAGGCGCGAAAGCCAGGGGAGCGAACGGGAUUAGAUACCCCGGUAGUCCUGGCCGUAAACGAUGGGUACUAGGUGUAGGAGGUAUCGACCCCUUCUGUGCCGGAGUUAACGCAAUAAGUACCCCGCCUGGGGAGUACGACCGCAAGGUUGAAACUCAAAGGAAUUGACGGGGGCCCGCACAAGCGGUGGAGUAUGUGGUUUAAUUCGACGCAACGCGAAGAACCUUACCAGGUCUUGACAUUGAUGGACAGAACCAGAGAUGGUUCCUCUUCUUCGGAAGCCAGAAAACAGGUGGUGCACGGUUGUCGUCAGCUCGUGUCGUGAGAUGUUGGGUUAAGUCCAGCAACGAGCGCAACCCCUAUCUUAUGUUGCCAGCACUUUGGGUGGGGACUCAUGAGAGACCGCCGCAGACAAUGCGGAGGAAGGCGGGGAUGACGUCAAAUCAUCAUGCCCCUUAUGACCUGGGCUACACACGUACUACAAUGGGAGUUAAUAGACGGAAGCGAGAUCGCGAGAUGGAGCAAACCCGAGAAACACUCUCUCAGUUCGGAUCGUAGGCUGCAACUC
rnacentral:rRNA from 1 species